rnacentral:rRNA from 1 species
ACGGAGGGUGCAAGCGUUAAUCGGAAUUACUGGGCGUAAAGCGCACGUAGGCUGUAGUGUAAGUCAGGGGUGAAAUCCCACGGCUCAACCGUGGAACUGCCUUUGAUACUGCACAACUUGAAUCCGGGAGAGGGUGGCGGAAUUCCAGGUGGAGGGGCGAGAGGCGUAGGUAUGUGGAGGAGCAGCAGGGGCGAAGGCAGCCAACAGUACCGGUAUUGACGCUGAGGUGCGAACGCGUGGGGAGCCAACGG